rnacentral:rRNA from 1 species
CGUGUAGGUGGGUAAGCAAGUCAGAUGUGAAAUUCCGGGGCUUAACUCCGGCGCUGCAUCUGAAACUGCGUAUCUUGAGUACUGGAGAGGAAAGUGGAAUUCCUAGUGUAGCGGUGAAAUGCGUAGAUAUUAGGAGGAACACCAGUGGCGAAGGCGGCUUUCUGGACAGUAACUGACACUGAGGCGCGAAAGCGUGGGGAGCAAACAGGAUUAGAUACCCUGGUAGUCCACGCUGUAAACGAUGAAUACUAGGUGUAGGGGGUAUCGAACCCCCCUGUGCCGCAGUUAACACAAUAAGUAUUCCACCUGGGGAGUACGGCCGCAAGGUUGAA